rnacentral:pre_miRNA from 1 species
UAGAUACUCCCUUCGUCUGGAAUUACUUGUCAUAAAAAUGGAUGUAUUUAGACAUAUUUUAGUUUUAAAUACAUUCAUUUCUUUAAAUUUUGGUGACAAAUAAUUUCGGACGGAGGGAGUAUUAU